rnacentral:rRNA from 1 species
GAUGAACGCUGGCGGCGUGCCUAACACAUGCAAGUCGAACGGAGACAAGCCUUUAAGACCUUCGGGACGAAGGGGGGAAGACUGAGAGGCGGACGGGUGUGAAACACGUGGGCAACCUGGCUAAUAGCGGGGGAUAACAGAGAGAAACUUCUGAUAAUACCGCAUAAGCAGACACUGCCGCAUGGCAGGGGGUGAAACGAGAAUCGCUAUGAGAUGGACCCGCGUCGGAUAAGGCAGUUGGCAGGGUAAGAGCCGACCAAAGCGACGAUCAGUAGCCGAGCUGUGAGGCACAACGGCCACACUGGGACUGGGACACGGCCCAGACUCCUCCGCGAUGCAGCAGUGCGUGAUAUAGCACAAUGGCGGGAGUCCUGAUGCUGCGCCGCCGCGUGAGUGAAGAAAUAUUUCGGUAUGUAAAGCUCUAUCAGCAGGGAAGAUAAUGACAGUACCUGAAUAAGAAGCCCCGGCUAACUACGUG